GGUUGACCUCGGAUCAGGUAGGGAUACCCGCUGAACUUAAGCAUAUCAAUAAGCGGAGGAAAAGAAACCAACAGGGAUUGCCUCAGUAACGGCGAGUGAAGCGGCAAGAGCUCAAAUUUGAAAGCUGGCUCCUUCGGGGUCCGCAUUGUAAUUUGCAGAGGAUGCUUCGGGCAUGGCCCCCGUCUAAG
rnacentral:rRNA from 1 species